GCCAAACACCACAAUGAAAUCCACCUCUUUAUGCACUUUGUGCUUUGAGAUGUAAUUUUUUAAAACCCGAGUUUCAUGGUGUUUGCUACGAGGACCCAGGUUCAAGUCCCAGUAACCACAUGUCAGCUCACAACCAUCUGUAACUCCAGUUCCAUGGGAUCUGAGGCCCUCUUUCUGGUCUCUGUAGGAGAAUAUGGUGCUCAGGCACACAUGAAGAGAAAGCACCCAUUCACAUAAAAUAAUUUAAAAUUUUUAAGUAAAUCAUUUAAUUUUAAAACUGCUUUUCAAUCUUAGAAAUGUUAAAAUGUGCAAAAGUACACUUUUCAAACGAGGUGAUAGACAGACAGAUAGACAGUGGUGAAGAUCACAUUCAAGAUUUGAAGCUUGCUAACCAGUUCCUCUACUAUGGAAAACUCCUCCCAACCCAAGGAUAUAACUUAAAUAUGCAAAUUUGUACAUGUGAUUGUGUCUAUCCUACUGAAAACCUUUGGAAGGAAAGAUACUAGCCAUAGUAUCUUUACAUAUUAUCCAUCUUUUCGUCUUUUUGUAGUGAACACACACUGUUUCUGUAAUUUCAAAGCACACCAUCCUUUAAGAUGUUGUGUAGAACUCCUGUCUGCUGAUUGAAAAUCUACAACCAACCCUCAAGUAAUCAGUACCAUGUCAGCCUUCAGUCUCACAGAAACCAAUGGCUCCCAAAGUAGCCGGGCAACUGUGGCUGUUUCAAAUGAGAGCUGGUGAAAGCAAAGGCCUAUGGUGGCUUUGGUGUCAGGGACAGGCAUUUAGUUCCUGCCUCGGUCAGUUAACUUGGCUCAUUCACAGAGGGAAAUGGUAAAGGCACACUAUCUACCUGGCUCAUGGGGACAAACACUGUCAGACACUGUCUACCACAGACACAAACGUGUGGAAGGAAACAGGCAGUGGAGAUACAGCUCUGCUGAGCACACUGGGCAACCGCUCUUUCCAGGGGCCAGCAGGAGACCAGGUUUUACAAUGGUUGCUGUAAUGUUAUCAUCAGUAGCCAGAAGUGAAAGUGGAAAAGGCAGCUCCGUUUACAAUGAGGACUUCAAAUCACCAUUACAUACUCUGGAGCCAAUUUAGCAAGAAACAUUGAGAAAACUCCAAAACCAUAAUGACACCCUGGAGAAACUCAGACUAGAUGGACAGCAGACACGAUACAUGACUGAGAAGACUAAACAGCUUCAAAAGGCAUAGGGUGAGGGGGUGGGGGAAAGGGGAGAAGGGAGGGAAGGACGGAGAAAGGGAGGGAGGAAGGGAGGGAAGAAAAGGAAGGACAUAAAGGUAGGAGCUGGACUAUCUGGGAAGAAGGGGGUGAGGAUAAGUUGGAGAGAAAGAGAGAGGGUAAGUAGUAGAAUGAACAUAAUCACAGUGCACAGUAUACUCACAUGGAACUGUAAAACAGACUGAAAAUGAAAAGAAAAAAAGUAGUUCAAUUUAGCCGGGCAGUGGUGGCGCAUGCCUUUAGUCCCAGCACUCGGGAGGCAGAGGCAGGCCAGCCUGGUUCAAGGCCAGCCUGGUCUACAGAGUGAGUUCCAGGACAGUCAGAGGUGCACAGAGAAGCCCUGUCUCGAACCCCCCCCCCCCAAAAAAAAAGUAGUUCAAUGUAAGGAGCUGUUCUGAUUAUUCUUUAAAGGGAAAUGUUGAGGAAGAAAUCUUGGCUGAAGCUCACUAGCUCACUCAGGUAAAUGAUAGCUGUUCCAGGAGCAGAAUGGAGACAGGUGGGGACAGCAGAGGACGUGUGAGAGAUCCCAGGGAGUAGCUGUGGAAAGAUCAGCCCACACAGAGGUCUGGAGAGUGUCCUGAUGAAUCACACUAAGCAAAUGCUAUCAUCUGAAAUUGCCUUAAUGUGAUGUAUUCCCCAACUCCCCCCUCUCAUUUUUAUUUCCUUAUAAAUGCCUUAUUAUUUAACAGUUAAUAUUUUUAUUUUCCUCAUUUUAUUUAAAGAGUUUCUUUUUUUAUAAGCAAAGAAAGGGUGGAUGCUAAUUGAGGCCAUAAUAUGUGUUAUUAUAGGUAAACAAAAAGUAGUUCACUUAUACUCCACCCACUCAUUAUUAACCACUGUCAGAUUUUUCAUUCUGCGUCUUUCUUUGAAUAUUCAUAUGACUGUGGCUAUUGCCAUGUGAAUGAUUUUGAGCCAAAUGCACUCUAAUUAUGCAGGAAGAAAUAAAAGGAAUGUUAUAUGACACCAUAUGCUUUAAAAAUAUUAAAAGGUAUUAAAUUACAAUCUAUUUUCAUUUGAAGAUUUUAGUAUUUAUCACAAAAUACAGAAAGUAAUACAGUGAUCUACUAUUCCUAAAAGAUAAUAUGCUGCCAAUUUUAGAGAGCUGUAGCUUAGUGAUAGAGCAUUUGCCUAACAAACAUGAAGUCAGGGAUUCAAUUCCCAGCACUCUCCUGACAUACAUCAUAUAAACUUUGUAUGUAUAAGUAUUUAAAGAAACCAUGAAGUGAAGAACCAUUUGUUUUGUGCUAUAAAACAAAAUAAAUGAUUUAAUUAAAAAGCAAAUUAUAAAUGAAGAACAGUGGACUAAAGAACUACUGAUAAUAAAUGGACAAAGUUGACUACAUGGCAGGAAGGGGCAAUGGAAGUUUGAAAGGUUGUUGAUCUCUAAAGAGAGAGUCAAAAGAUACACAGAACAAAAUCCAUAUAUUUUUUAAAGCUGGAAACAUUAUCAGCCUCACUAAUUAAGGAGACAGAAUUCUCUUCACUUCUUUGAUCUAUUUAGAAAUAAUUUUUGUUAUUAAAUAUACAUGAAACUAAUCUUCAGUUUUUAAUGAAUUUUCCUAUCUUACCAACUGUGAUUGGCAUAUAGUUUAUCUCAUAACUUACUAUUCUCCCAAUCUAUCUUCAUUCUAGAAUUCCUGAGAACUGCUGAAAUUCAGAAGAGAAUCCCUACUGCUUAGUGGUUACAGUAAAUUCUGUCUGAACAACCUAGAUACCCCUUCUCAGUGAAGCAUCAUUAUCUUACCUGCUGAGGGUGUUGGCAGCCAUUCUCAGUCCCAUGUCUUUCCAAGAUUUGCCCUCCACUGAAGAAAGCAGCCCUGCCCAAGAGCUCGAAGAAUCCCAUAGAAG
rnacentral:lncRNA from 1 species